UACGGGGGGAGCAAGCGUUGUUCGGAUUUACUGGGCGUAAAGGGCGCGUAGGCGGCGCAACAAGUCACUUGUGAAAUCUCCGGGCUUAACUCGGAAAGGUCAAGUGAUACUGUUGUGCUAGAGUGCGGAAGGGGCAACUGGAAUUCUCGGUGUAGCGGUGAAAUGCGUAGAUAUCUGAAGGAACAUCAGUGGCGAAAGCGACUUCCUGGACGAAUACUGACGCUCAUGUGCGAAAGCGUGGGGAGCAAACAGG
rnacentral:rRNA from 1 species